rnacentral:tRNA from 1 species
GAUUCGCUAGCUCAGUUGGUAGAGCACAUCCCUUUUAAGGAUGGGGUCCUGGGUUCGAGCCCCAGGCGGAUCACUA